rnacentral:lncRNA from 1 species
ACCUGGCUCAGGGGCAGCGCCCCUGGACUCUGCUUUCUUCUGCCCGCCCGCUUUUGUGUCCUCGGGUAUGGGAAGCACUCAGCCUGGCUGAUGAGUGAGUGCUCGCCAAGGUGAGGAAGGGACCCCACACUUACCGAUGGAUGGGUCGUGCCAGUGGGGAAAGCACUGGUUUGGAAUCUACCUGUGUGGACCUGGGUUCAAAUUCUGACUUCUGCCCUAGCUCUGGAAUCCUGUGCAUGUUACCUCUCAGGGCCCCAGUAUUUUCAUUUGUAAAGCGGGUUUGCUAAUACGUCCCUGACGGUCUGUUGUGAGGAUUAAAUUAAAUAAUGAGAGUAGAGUCCUAAGCCCAAUCAGUGAGACAGGGUGGGUCCUCUGUCAAGGAUGCUUCCUUCGCUCAAGGGUGAGUGUGGGGCGGUUGGGGAGUGGGGGUCAGGGGAGGGGCUGAGCUUUGAACUCCGCUCUGCCUGACUCUAUGGCAUCUGCACCUUCUCCCUCAUCUCCCCGCUUCCCCAUCACCCUGCGCUCACCCUCCAUUUGCUCCCGGGCCUCACGCCCAAAGCUGCAUACUCAAUCAUACACAAAUUCCUCAGUUUCCACUCCUCUUCCCCAAGACAUGCUUCCUUAGCCACUGUGGGGGGAGAAGGAGAAGAGGAAUUGCUUGUGUGGCUUCCAGGAAAUGCUGUGGAAGUUUCACCACAAUCACGUGAUGACUAUGGGGCCAAUCGACCAACGACCACUCACUGCACCCCGUAUGUGGCUCACCUCAAGGACCAAGAAAUUCGUGCUCUCAGAGUCCCUGAUGGGCAAAAGAUGCUCAAUCCAAAGGAUGCUCAACAUAUGUAAGGAAGAGAGGAAAGGAGGGGCUAAGGAGGAAGCAAGCCGGCUUUGUGACCAUUGUAGACGAACCCUCUUUCUCUCCCGCCUUCAGGGCCCGCUCACGCCGCCCCUGCUGGGAGCAUCCCGGCACGUGCUGGCCCCAAGGCCGCCUUCUGCUGCUCCGUGCUGGCCAGGCUCAGGCCGACUCAACUGCGCCCGGUCAACAGCACAGCUCCGCACCCACCAGUGCACCUGUCAGCACACCUUGGCAGAAGGGGAAAACGAGGUCCAGAGAGGCGGCUCGAGCAGACACUGCCCAGGUGGACUUGGUGGCUUGUCCAGCAAAUCUCUCAGCUGGAGACUUCUGGAAUGUUCAAUACUGUCUAAAGAGAGAGGAAGAAUAACUACGUGGAACUAA